UACCUGGUUGAUUCUGCCAGUAGUCAUAUGCUUGUCUCAAAGAUUAAGCCAUGCAUGUCUAAGUAUAAGCACUUAUACCGUGAAACUGCGAAUGGCUCAUUAAAUCAGUUAUCGUUUAUUUGAUAGUACCUUACUACAUGGAUACCCGUGGUAAUUCUAGAGCUAAUACAUGCUAAAAACCUCGACUUCGGAAGGGGUGUAUUUAUUAGAUAAAAAACCAAUGCCCUUCGGGGCUCCUUGGUGAUUCAUAAUAACUUGUCGAAUCGCAUGGCCUUGUGCUGGCGAUGGUUCAUUCAAAUUUCUGCCCUAUCAACUUUCGAUGGUAGGAUAGUGGCCUACCAUGGUGGCAACGGGUAACGGGGAAUUAGGGUUCGAUUCCGGAGAGGGAGCCUGAGAAACGGCUACCACAUCCAAGGAAGGCAGCAGGCGCGCAAAUUACCCAAUCCCAACACGGGGAGGUAGUGACAAUAAAUACUAAUACAGGGCUCUUUCGGGUCUUGUAAUUGGAAUGAGUACAAUUUAAAUCCCUUAACGAGGAACAAUUGGAGGGCAAGUCUGGUGCCAGCAGCCGCGGUAAUUCCAGCUCCAAUAGCGUAUAUUAAAGUUGUUGCAGUUAAAAAGCUCGUAGUUGAACCUUGGGUCUGGCUGGCCGGUCCGCUUCACGGCGUGCACUGGUCCGGCUGGACCUUUCCUUCUGGGGAGCCCUAUGGCCUUCACUGGCUGUAGGGGGAACCAGGACUUUUACUGUGAAAAAAUUAGAGUGUUCAAAGCAGGCCUUUGCUCGGAUACAUUAGCAUGGAAUAAUAGAAUAGGACGUGUGGUUCUAUUUUGUUGGUUUCUAGGACCGCCGUAAUGAUUAAUAGGGAUAGUCGGGGGCGUCAGUAUUCGGCUGUCAGAGGUGAAAUUCUUGGAUUUGCUGAAGACUAACUACUGCGAAAGCAUUCGCCAAGGAUGUUUUCAUUAAUCAGUGAACGAAAGUUAGGGGAUCGAAGUCGAUCAGAUUCCGUCGUA
rfam:Tncinocarpus reesii 1704 scaffold_19 genomic scaffold, whole genome shotgun sequence.